rnacentral:rRNA from 1 species
GGCCUUGCGCUCUUUGAGCGGCCGAUGUCAGAUUAGCUAGUUGGUGAGGUAACGGCUUACCAAGGCGACGAUCUGUAGCGGGUCUGAGAGGAUGAUCCGCCACACUGGAACUGAGACACGGUCCAGACUCCUACGGGAGGCAGCAGUGGGGAAUUUUGGACAAUGGGGGCAACCCUGAUCCAGCCAUGCCGCGUGAGUGAAGAAGGCCUUCGGGUUGUAAAGCUCUUUCGGCCGGGAAGAAAUCGCAUGGGCCAAUACCCUGUGUGGAUGACGGUACCGGAAUAAGAAGCACCGGCUAACUACGUGCCAGCAGCCGCGGUAAUACGUAGGGUGCGAGCGUUAAUCGGAAUUACUGGGCGUAAAGCGUGCGCAGGCGGUUUUGUAAGACAGGCGUGAAAUCCCCGGGCUCAACCUGGGAACUGCGUUUGUGACUGCAAGGCUAGAGUACGGCAGAGGGGGGUGGAAUUCCACGUGUAGCAGUGAAAUGCGUAGAGAUGUGGAGGAACACCAAUGGCGAAGGCAGCCCCCUGGGUCGAUACUGACGCUCAUGCACGAAAGCGUGGGUAGCAAACAGGAUUAGAUACCCUGGUAGUCCACGCCCUAAACUAUGUCAACUAGGUGUUGGGUGGGUAAAACCAUUUAGUACCGUAGCUAACGCGUGAAGUUGACCGCCUGGGGAGUACGGCCGCAAGGUUAAAACUCAAAGGAAUUGACGGGGACCCGCACAAGCGGUGGAUGAUGUGGAUUAAUUCGAUGCAACGCGAAAAACCUUACCUACCCUUGACAUGCCAGGAACUUGCCAGGGAUGGCUUGGUGCCCGAAAGGGAGCCUGGACACAGGUGCUGCAUGGCUGUCGUCAGCUCGUGUCGUGAGAUGUUGGGUUAAGUCCCGCAACGAGCGCAACCCUUGUCGUUAAUUGCCAUCAUUUAGUUGGGCACUUUAGCGAGACUGCCGGUGACAAACCGGAGGAAGGUGGGGAUGACGUCAAGUCCUCAUGGCCCUUAUGGGUAGGGCUUCACACGUCAUACAAUGGUCGGUACAAAGGGUCGCCAAGCCGCGAGGUGGAGCCAAUCCCAGAAAGCCGAUCGUAGUCCGGAUUGCAGGCUGCAACUCGCCUGCAUGAAGUCGGAAUCGCUAGUAAUCGUUGAUCAGCAUGUCACGGUGAAUACGUUCCCGGGUCUUGUACACACCGCCCGUCACACCAUGGGAGCGGGUUCCGCCAGAAGUAGGUAGCCUAACCGCAAGGAGGGCGCUUACCACGGCGGGGUUCGUGAUUGGGGUGAAGUCGUAACAAGGUA